AACGAACGCUGGCGGCAGGCUUAACACAUGCAAGUCGAGCGCCCCGCAAGGGGAGCGGCAGACGGGUGAGUAACGCGUGGGAAUCUACCGAGCCCUGCGGAAUAGCUCCGGGAAACUGGAAUUAAUACCGCAUACGCCCUUCGGGGGAAAGAUUUAUCGGGGUUUGAUGAACCCGCGUUGGAUUAGCUAGUUGGUGGGGUAAAGGCCUACCAAGGCGACGAUCCAUAGCUGGUCUGAGAGGAUGAUCAGCCACAUUGGGACUGAGACACGGCCCAAACUCCUACGGGAGGCAGCAGUGGGGAAUAUUGGACAAUGGGCGCAAGCCUGAUCCAGCCAUGCCGCGUGAGUGAUGAAGGCCCUAGGGUUGUAAAGCUCUUUCACCGGUGAAGAUAAUGACGGUAACCGGAGAAGAAGCCCCGGCUAACUUCGUGCCAGCAGCCGCCGUAAAAC
rnacentral:rRNA from 1 species